CAAGUCUUGAUCAUCUUCUUCU
rnacentral:siRNA from 1 species